rnacentral:rRNA from 1 species
CAGUAGCCGCGGGAAUACGAGGGGGGCAAGCGUUGUUCGGAAUUAUUGGGCGUAAAGGGUGCGUAGGCGGUUCAGCAAGUCUCGUGUGAAAUCUUCGGGCUCAACCCGAAGUCUGCACGGGAAACUACUGGGCUUGAGUAAUGGAGAGGUGAGUGGAAUUUCCGGUGUAGCGGUGAAAUGCGUAGAUAUCGGAAGGAACACCUGUGGCGAAAGCGGCUCACUGGACAUUUACUGACGCUGAUGCACGAAAGCUAGGGGAGCAAACAGGAUUAGAUACCCCAGUAGUCCCUGUCUCUUAUAC